UUUUUGUCAAGAUUACCCUCCUCCCCUCCCCUCCAUCUACCUCGAACCAAUCGGACCCUUAAAUAUAUAAAAGGAGAAAUAUAGUGCAUUUAAGUGCCUGCCAUGGUAGAGUUUAGGGAAGGUUGGACUAGUUGUGAAUCUAUUAUAGCCAGUCUGUUUUUACAACCCGACACAUGGCCUCCUAAUGACAUGGCAGCAACUCCAACCAUUGUGCCAAGGCUCACCUUCAUUCUUAUAGACAUC
rnacentral:lncRNA from 1 species